AUACGGAGGGUGCAAGCGUUAAUCGGAAUUACUGGGCGUAAAGGGCGCGUAGGCGGUUCUGUAAGUCGGGUGUGAAAGCCCCGGGCUCAACCCGGGAACUGCAUUCGAUACUGCAGGACUAGAGUAUGGUAGAGGAAAGCGGAAUUCCCGGUGUAGCGGUGAAAUGCGUAGAUAUUGGGAGGAACACCAGUGGCGAAGGCGGCUAUCUGGACGGGUACUGACGCUGAGGCGCGAAAGCGUGGGGAGCAAACAGGAUUAGAAACCCCAGUAGUCC
rnacentral:rRNA from 1 species